GAUGAACGCUGGCGGCGUGCCUAAUACAUGCAAGUCGAGCGAACGGACGAGAAGCUUGCUUCUCUGAUGUUAGCGGAGGACGGGUGAGUAACACGUGGAUACCCUCCUUAUAAGACUGGGAUAACUUCGGGAAACCGUAGCUAAUACCGGAUAAUAUUUUGAACCGCAUGGUUCAAAAGUGAAAGACGGUCUUGCUGUCACUUAUAGAUGGAUCCGAGCUGCAUUAGCUGGUUGUUAAGGUCACGGCUUACCAAGGCAACGAUGCAUAGCCGACCUGAGAGAGUGGUCGGCCACACUGGAGCGUAGACACGGACCAUGCUCCUACGAUAGGCAGCAGUAGGGUAUCGUCCGCAGUGGGCGAAAGCCUGGCGGAGCGACGCCGCGUGUGUUAUGAAGGUCUUCGGAUCGUAAAACUGUGUUAUUAGGGAAAAACAUAUUUGUAAGGAACUGUGCACAGCUUGACGGUACCUAAUCAGAAAGCCACGGCUAACUACGUG
rnacentral:rRNA from 1 species